AUUGAACGCCGGCGGCAUGCCUUACACAUGCAAGUCGAACGGCAGCACGGGUGCUUGCACCUGGUGGCGAGUGGCGAACGGGUGAGUAAUACAUCGGAACGUACCUUAUCGUGGGGGAUAACGCAGCGAAAGUUGCGCUAAUACCGCAUACGCCCUGAGGGGGAAAGCGGGGGACCGUAAGGCCUCGCGCGAUUAGAGCGGCCGAUGUCGGAUUAGCUUGUUGGUGAGGUAAAAGCUCACCAAGGCGAUGAUCAGUAGCUGGUCUGAGAGGACGAUCAGCCACACUGGGACUGAGACACGGCCCAGACUCCUACGGGAGGCAGCAGUGGGGAAUUUUGGACAAUGGGGGCAACCCUGACCCAGCAAUGCCGCGUGAGUGAAGAAGGCCUUCGGGUUGUAAAGCUCUUUUGUCAGGGAAGAAACAGCAGCUCUAACACAGUCUGCGAAUGACGGUACCUGAAGAAUAAGCACCGGCUAACUACGUGCCAGCCGCCGCCGUAA
rnacentral:rRNA from 1 species